rnacentral:rRNA from 1 species
GACACUCCCCUGACCAACCCCGAGAGAGUCGGGGCCGUUCCCCGUUCGGGGGGACAGGGUGACAGGUGGUGCAUGGUUGUCGUCAGCUCGUGUCGUGAGAUGUUGGGUUAAGUCCCGCAACGAGCGCAACCCUCGACCUUAGUUGCCAGCAUUCAGUUGGGCACUCUAAGGUGACUGCCGGCUAAAGUCGGAGGAAGGUGGGGAUGACGUCAAAUCAUCAUGCCCCUUAUGACCUGGGCUACACACGUGCUACAAUGGGCGGUACAAAGGGUCGCGAACCCGCGAGGGGGAGCCAAUCCCAAAAAGCCGCUCUCAGUUCGGAUUGCAGGCUGCAACUCGCCUGCAUGAAGCCGGAAUCGCUAGUAAUCGCGGAUCAGCAUGCCGCGGUGAAUACGUUCCCGGGCCUU